UACAGAGGGGGCAAGCGUUGUUCGGAAUUACUGGGCGUAAAGGGCGCGUAGGCGGCCUUCUAAGUCGAACGUGAAAUCCCCGGGCUCAACCCGGGAACUGCGUCCGAUACUGGAAGGCUUGAAUCCGGGAGAGGGAUGCGGAAUUCCAGGUGUAGCGGUGAAAUGCGUAGAGAUGUGGAGGAACACCGAUGGCGAAGGCAGCCCCCUGGGUUAACACUGACGCUCAGGCACGAAAGCGUGGGGAGCAAACCGG
rnacentral:rRNA from 1 species